UAAAUUAACUUUCCUUAACUCAAAGCUGUACUAACAAUGUUAAACGUUGGGUUUUCUGGAGGAAUUCUCAAGAAUUUGCAUACAUUCCUAGCUCAGUGUUUGCCAUUGAGUAGGCACAAGCGAAUGGUGGUACACAGUCUACAGCCUAUGAUGAUAGAGCAGAUACAGGCAAAAGAGGUAAUACCAAGAAAAGAGUGAUACAUUCUUUCACGUAUCCCCUGGAUAAUUUCCAAGGCUGGGAAAGAGCUAAAUAGGUGGUCAUGGCAAACAAUGACAACCAUAGCAAGGGAAAAGGAGUGUGAAAGGCACGAAGACACCAGAGAAUGGAGAACGUUUAUGGAAUUGCAAUUCUAAAGUGAUAGUGGGCAGAGGAGUUAAGCAAGAGUAUAUAGUGUAGGGGCUGAACUCUGAACAAUCUUUAGAUUGACAUUUGAGAGAGAUUACUAUUACUCUCCUCAUUAGAGUCCAAUGUUUUCCAACCAUGGCAAGUUGCUUGGACUGAAGUUCUGGAGUAGCGUCCUACAAAGCACAUUCAAGGCACAACAGGUAAACUCCUUUCAGCUAAAGAGGUUUGUUAGUGCACAAUGCAGGUUAUAACUGGAAAGGUAAGUUGGCAUGAAUUUAUAGGGUAGAAUUUCUUAAACUGAAGAAAAAUAGGCAAAACCUCAGUCUGGGUGUUAAGCUGAUUGAUAUUUUUAAUAAAGUUAACCAUAAAGCUAAUAUUUUAGAAACAAUAUGCUCAGUAAAUAAUUUUAUUGCUAUUAUCAAAAUCAUUGAAUAAAAAUGAAGCAAUUCUAAAGUAAAAAUACGAUAUAAUAGCAUUUUAAUUGACCUAAUUAAGCCCACAUGGUUAAAACCUGAAGUGUUUCAACUGAGUAUAAUCUCUGAAGAAAUUAGCAUAUUAAUUUUAACAUAAUUAUAAUCAUAACACUUCAAAUGUUAUGAAUUCAAGGGUCAGAUAUGUAUUAUAAAGAAAAUAAUAAUUUGAUAAACUGAAUAAUUAAAAUUAAAUAACUUUGUAGUCUUCUAGAAAUGUUUAAAUUUUGAUAAAUUACUAAUAAAAGACUUAUAUUUCACUUUUGAGAUAUUUCCAGCUUUGAGCUGCAUUUCAAGUAAUUCUGAGCACAUUAAACAAUUUAGGAUGUUGGUUUUUUUAGUCAGUGCACAAAACAAGUCUAAUGUUUCUACUUUGGUAUGCAUACUUUUGAAAGAUUCUGGAUUAUUUUCAGCCAGGGGACAUCCAUAACCUAACACAAUAGACCAGUUUCUGUGAGAGGCACACUCUAAAAUUUCAGUGGUUUUACCAAAUAGAAGUCUAUCCUCAUUCUUGUCUAUAAGACAAAAGCACAUACCCAAGUAGAUUGCUCUCCUCCAAGUGAUGGGUCAGGGACCCAAGCUCCUUCUGUGUUAUGGCUCCACCAUCUUCCAUAAGUGACUGUCAAGAUCAUUGCAGAGGUUGCCUGUGUUGGAAGAUUGCAUGCAGAAAAUUUGUGUGAGCCUCUCUGAAAGUAUCAGAGGAGAAUAUUCACUCAUAUCCUCCUGGCCAGAACUCAGGCACGGGGCCACUCCCAGAAAUCUGGUAAGUGCAUGCUAGCCCCAUGCACAGAAGGAAGUAAAAGCAGGAGGUGGCGAAGAGCUUCCAAUCACCAGCUACUCCUGAGGAAAGGAGUUCAAGUACAUGGAGCCUACCGGUGCCAGGCAGGGCUGAUAGGCAUGUCUGCUCCUAUGACUUCAGUUAAUUUUCACUGCAAGCUUACAAAGUAGGCAACAGUUCAAGGAUCUGCUUAGCAAGGGUUAUUUCAACAUUUCAAAACCAGAAUCCAGUUUGAGGUCUAUCAGAUUGUGUCAUCUUGAGGUUGAGUAUCAGCACGGCUUAGCAGCCCAGCAUUCCUGACCCACACCCCCAGCUCUGCAGUUUACCAGUUGUGUGACACUGUGUAUGUUAAAUAAUUUACCUAGGCUUUAACAUUUUUAUUGAUAAACUUAGACUAUUCCUUUUCCUGUUCUGUUUUUCCUGGAACAGACUCAAUGCUCACUAAUUGACAGAUAGAACUUAUAUUUGUCUUUACAAUUGUAUGAUUUGUGAUGUUUCUCAUACUAUCAAACCCACUGAUACCUAUUCUAUAAUUAACUGAUGAAAUAAAUUUGGCUUGUUAUGAAUUAUGACAUAAGGAGAUUAUAGUAUAAAAUGUGCAUUUAAUACUUGACAAUGAGUAUCAGCCAAGGGCAGUGAGUCCAGAUAUCCUUUGAACAUAGUUCCUUAUGGAGAUGAUAAUUAAACUGUGUACAUGAUAGAAAACUUGUGUCUGAAUAACUGCUAAGUAAGCU